AGUGGGGCCUCUUCCGGUGACACUACCUGGGUCGGCUGGUUCUCAGGAGGCCUGGUUUCUUCUGUUCUGUCACUGACUAUGGGAUUUUGCUUCACGGAAAUUCAAGGUCUCAGAACCCAUUUGCAACCUGCUGCGGUUCUCGGAUCCUGGGUCGCUAGAUGGUAGAGGCCAAAGGAAGCAUGAGUCAACUUUUCCUGUUGGCUCCGGGCUGAGUGAACAACUCACACCUGAAGGCUUCAGGAAGUCACUGCACCCACUCUGCCGGAGUCUUCAGGAUUGCUCACUUGAUACCAACCCUGGACAAAGGAUGUACUUAUGUGGUCAGUCUAGCGAACCCACAGCGGUUCACCAUGUCAGGAACCCUGGCCAAGAGCUGCACUCUUAUCCGAAGAAGAACAUUUUCUACCAAAAUGCACCUGUAGGAGAGAUUAAACUCUAAGGUCUGAAAGAGCGAAGGUGAAUAUUGUACCUACGGUGCAGUGGGAGCUCAUUGAAAUGGGGGCUGGUAGACGCCAACGACCUCUGGAGCAGCUUGGGGAGCAGGACUCUUGGGUUCUGUCCUGUUACAAGGCAACUGUUGAAGGUCAGAAGGCAGAGAAUGUUUUUACAGGCACUUCAUGCAGAGGAGACACCCAAGCAAUGGCAGCUGUUAUUAUUGAAAUCAUAUUAGCUCUCCAAUGAGCCAAUAUAUAUAUUUAACUCACUAAUUUGUCUAAAACAGUUAUGAACUAGUUUAUUCCUAGUUGCCAUCACUUCUGGUAUCAAAGUUUUUUUCUUUUUUAGAGUCCUUCAGGUUUCAUCAUUCUAGAACUUGUGAUGUUCUGCAUUUAGCUUGCCAUUUCCCUGUGUAGAAACUACUUCCAGCGGAAAGAGAAUCAGUGUGAUUGGUCCAGAGGGUCUAUAAAAUUCUCUCCCUACCAUAGCUCAGUAAAGUGAGAGUGGGUUAGAAUUUCAAAAAAGAGGAGAAAAUGGACACAUUUUUCUGGUCUAGAGAAAGCACCAUAUUUGCACUACUUAAUUCUGGGAAAUGGAAAAUGGGACUUGCUGAUCACUGAGUGAACUAUCUGGAGGCUACAAAGGGAUGUUAGGGGCAAAGCAACAACACCUUGUGCUUCUCCAGAAUUUUAAAGGCUGCCAGGCUCUCUGACAUCUGGUUUCUCACUUGAUCUUCAUAUACAACUUUGAGGUAAUCGGGACAAGUACUACCAUGGCUUCUAUUCCGCACAGGAGGAAAUCUAGAAUCAAGUUAUCGCCCCCAAAGCACAUUGCCAUUUAGUGACAUAACUGACCUGGGACUGCGACGGAGCUUCACUAACUGGUUAAGUGAGUCAUUCAAGAGCUUAUUGGAGACAGGCCUGCUUUGAGUCUUCACCAUCGGAUUCUCCUAAAACUUUCUGUCCAGAACCCAUGUAUCUUUGUCAUGGGCUUUUUUCUACUUAUUCAGUCCAGUGAGAGACCUGGUUAAAUUUUCAAAUUCAUUCUUUUGCAUAAAACGUUUUAUAUGUUGAGUGUAAAAUGUGUGCGCCUGUGUGCACGUGUACACACAUGCAUAUAUGCUCCAUUUUUGUCGUGGUCAUUCUCUUGUUUGCUCUGAUUGAUUGCACAUGCACACAGCAGCUUAUGUGUAAUACAUACAUAUAGCUUUCUUCUCUUAGUGGAAGGAAAACAUACUGCUCCAUCAUUUGAAGCCUAGAUUAUUCUUUACAUUUGCAGAGCAUGUUUACAAGGGUGUUCACAGACAUUGUACUCUCCUUUAAAAUGCUGCUCACCUGUAGCUCAGCUGGAGUGGAAAUAAUUGUUCAGAGUCAGAAUUGGAAGAAGUGAACUGAUUUUUCUGGACUUUUCCAAAUCAUGGCUUCCAGUUCUCAUACUCCAUAAACACUCUCCAACUAAAAUUUUAGAGUGCAUGUCUGAUUUUUAUUUUUCUUUUCACUUCUGAUAAUAGUUCAUUUUUAUAUUCAGAGUUUCUAGAAGUAAAUAUCAUAAAAUGCAUACUAUUGCAUGAGAGUUUACAAUCUAAAAUCCAAGAGUCAUAGUUAGGUGAAAUUUCAUUCUGUAACAUCUCUUAAUUUUUGAUCAGAGAACCUUUUUCUAUUUACAGCAAAUCACAACACUUGAACAUAAAAACUGUUCAAAGACAUUGUUACUAAUUAGUCACAAUAUUUCAAAGUCACCUUCCAUUACCUGGUUCCAUUGGCUGGUUUGGAAGACCCUACACUUGCUAAGGCACACAUCCCACAUGGACAAACCCUGCAGCAGAGGCUAAGUGGCUAUCUUCUCCGCUUGAAAGUUUUAUCAUCUAUAAACAAUUGCUACAAAGCCAGUUGUUCCAGAUGAGACAAUUUGUGCCUCUCAAGCUUUUCAGACCAUGUGAGACCCUUGAUGUCAUCGCACAAAGAAAGAAAACCACCGAAGUCCAAUGGCAGGGGUGGUCGAGGGACAUUUCUUGCACCAAAGACAUUAACGCCAGCUUCUCAGAGCACCAGGUUUUAGGUAUUUACAUCACUCAUGAGUGUGUAGCACACCCAUUCAUGGAGAAUUUGAUUUGAGAGAUCAUGUAUGACUCUGUAACGUCUCCUUUUUAUACCCAGAGCAGAUGUGGUGCAACCGUCCCUACUCUGUUUUAUAUCUUAGCAUAGUUGGUUAGUGAGCGUAUCAACCAUAAAAACUGGUUAAUGAAUAUAUUCAUUAAGUGUUA
ensembl:lncRNA